CCCAACCCUAGGUACGUACGUCGUAGUUUCUUUUCCCUUCUCUUUCAGCCGAGAUCGAUUCGUAAUAAACAAGAACUAGGGGGCCAUUGUCGCUCCCCCGCCUGGUGGCCAAUAUCACAUUUACAACGAGCACCUAAGAGAGAAGUUCCACCUCACUUCAGUUGGCAUCAAAGGGUACCUAAAUCUCAUAUUAAUUAUUUAUUUACGUGUUCCACUGGUGAGCUUGCUGUUUGUUGUCGAUUUCUUCUGCCACAUCUGCUGGAUCAAGUGCACGGUUUCUUUACUGAUGCCUGAAUCACACCUAACGACAAGAGACACAAACUGAUGGAUUGAGUGGCCUGGAAGUCAGGCAGCAUCGCAGACCUGCCUCUAUGGCCCACCCAUAACUCCGUAAACAUCCAAACUGCAACUGUACAGAAAAGUCUUGUAGUCUACCCAGCUUCUUGGCUUAAGCCAUGGCUAGCAAGCGAAAGUCGACCAUUCCUUGCAUGAUCCCGGUGAAGACCAUUCAUUUGAGGA
ensembl:lncRNA